CCUCAAAAAAUAUGUACCGGAAAGUGUCGUUUCCAGAAACUUUAUUUUGUAAAUAAAUGUCAUCGGACAAAAUAAUUUUAUUCAAGAGUUUAAACAAAAAAAGGGGCAAAAGGUCGGGUUUGUUUAAAAUUGCAUACAUUCUGAAGGCGCGACUUUGUAUUAUCGUCAUACAACAACCACGUUUCAUAAGUCCAACUUUGUACAUAUUUCGUCCCAGUCUGGAAAACAUCUAUCCUUCAUUCGGGAAACAUGUCCAACAAGAUUUGGACAUUUCUCAGUCAUAAAGUCACGUAACGCAUACUGGACUUCUUUCGACAAGAAAUGUAGCUGCGACAACACCGCAAAUGCAACGACAUCUAAUGUGGUAGGUUCAUCUCCAAAGAAAAAUGGCUUGCAGUCCAGCAUUUCACUAAGAACUUUUAAAUCGUUCUUGCCAAAUUCUUCAAUCUCCUCUGCACUGUGUACCCCGAUUCCGUGAGCCUUGAGUUUUUUUGUACCCUGGAACCACUAAUUAUGAAAAAUUUGCACAAUACAAUUUUGGAAAAAUAAAAAAACGAUUUGGAAUGAACUUAAAGUUUCAAGCAAAAUUUGUAUAUAAAAAAAUGAACGUUAAAGUAAAAAAUGUCACUUGAUGUGAAUGGCUAAA